AACGAACGCUGGCGGCAGGCCUAACACAUGCAAGUCGAGCGAGACCUUCGGGUCUAGCGGCGGACGGGUGAGUAACGCGUGGGAAUAUGCCUCUUGGUACGGAAUAGCCUCGGGAAACUGGGAGUAAUACCGUAUGAGCCCUUCGGGGGAAAGAUUUAUCGCCAAGGGAUUAGCCCGCGUUGGAUUAGGUAGUUGGUAGGGUAAUGGCCUACCAAGCCGACGAUCCAUAGCUGGUUUGAGAGGAUGAUCAGCCACACUGGGACUGAGACACGGCCCAGACUCCUACGGGAGGCAGCAGUGGGGAAUCUUAGACAAUGGGGGCAACCCUGAUCCAGCCAUGCCGCGUGAGUGAUGAAGGCCUUAGGGUUGUAAAGCUCUUUCAGCUGGGAAGAUAAUGACGGUACCAGCAGAAUAAGCCCCGGCUAACUCCGUG
rnacentral:rRNA from 1 species